GAUGAAGAACGCAGUGAAAUGCGAUAAGUAAUGUGAAUUGCAGAAUUCAGUGAAUCAUCGAAUCUUUGAACGCACAUUGCGCCCCUUGGUAUUCCGAGGGGCAUGCCUGUUCGAGCGUCAUUAUAACCCCUCAAGCUCAGCUUGGUGUUGGGGCCUGCUGCACUGGCAGCCCUUAAAAUCAGUGGCGGCGCCAUCUGGCUCUAAGCGUAGUAAUUCUUCUCGCUCUGGAGGUCCGGUCGUGUGCUCGCCAGCAACCCCCAAUUUUUUUCAGGUUGACCUCGGAUCAGGUAGGGAUACCCGCUGAACUUAAGCAUAUCAAUAAGCGGAGGA
rnacentral:misc_RNA from 1 species